UAAUACAUGCAAGUCGAACGAAACUUUCUUACACCGAAUGCUUGCAUUCACCGUAAGAAGUUGAGUGGCGGACGGGUGAGUAACACGUGGGUAACCUGCCUAAAAGAAGGGGAUAACACUUGGAAACAGGUGCUAAUACCGUAUAUCUCUAAGGAUCGCAUGAUUCUUAGAUGAAAGAUGGUUCUGCUAUCGCUUUUAGAUGGACCCGCGGCGUAUUAACUAGUUGGUGGGGUAACGGCCUACCAGGG
rnacentral:rRNA from 1 species